rnacentral:lncRNA from 1 species
AGAAAAAAAUUCAAAUGAUAACAAUUAUUUUUCUAAGAGAGAAAACAUCCACAAAAUGCAUUUCAAUCUGCCCAGUGAAUGAUUUUAGCAUUGUCAGUAGUCUCUACACAUGACUAACUUAGAACAACAGAAGUAAUUCUGAGUAAAGAGGAAUCAGAAUAAGUUUUAUAUUUCAACAACCCCACUGCUCUACGUGAAUUCCUGUUGAUGGAACCACUUCACCGACAACAUUUACUGCCAGGCAGAGAGGGGGCAAAUUCUUACAUAGCACGCUCAAAAGACAAAGUUUGGUAUAUUAUAAAUGGCUCAAAGAAAAAAGUUUAAAAGAGGCUUGUCUGGGUCACUAAACAUUAAUACUUACAGGAUACAAGAAAAUGUCUUGCCUCAAUUUUAAGUAAUUAUCCUGCGUUUUGUGUCUACUAUUUCAUUAAGCCUGUGUGAAACGCAUAAUUACGAUGCAGGUGAGCUUGCUAUACCAGCGUUAGCAUGAAAGUCUCCGUCAAGUUUCUGAGAGGUCCCCGAGGGCAGAACCAGGACACACUCCUUCUUGUGCAUACCACUCCCAGCCCAGUGCCUACACCGCCACAUGCAUUCCACAAAGGAUCCUGGAAUUCGUUAUGGAGAAAUGUCCUCAUCCUGUCAAUGUCAGUUUCAUUUUUGAAGGGAAGAGUGGUAGCUCCCGGUAACAGUUUCCUCUGGCCAACGCUUUUGAUAAGACCCCAACGUCUCUCUAUAGGAUCAUCUUAUUAGGUUCCUGGACGGAUCCCAAACUCCAGUCUCAUCACCUCCAACUCCCAAUCCAUUCCAAUACAUCUGUUGAUGUCUCUCCCUCCUAUUCAGAAAAAACACCAAAUUCCCUUACAUGCCCUGGAGAAUCACUGCUUUUUAUGAGUAGAGGAUGGCUUUCAAGAACAAUGCUCUCCUGGGUGAGAUAACACAUUGACCUGACAUCAAGUGAGGGGGCAGGGAAGGUGACUGGAGAACAUCCUAACAAUCGUCAAACGGAACUAACUUGGUUCCACCAGUUGUGCUGGAGACAUACGUUGCUGGUACUUGCUAAAUAUGACUUAAGGGAGGCCAUUGAUUUGGAGUGAGCUCCGAAACUACGCCUCAACAGAUCACACCAAAAUGGAGUCACUCAGGCUAAAGUUUCAUGCCACCAAACAGAAAUGAAAGUGUUUAUCUGGCCUUCUGAGAAAUCAGGAGAGAUAACAGCCAAAUUUCUAAGGAAGCCACUUUCAGCCAGCAUGAUAAGGAAAUCCCCUCUGCUUUAACCCUUUGGAGAAAAGCAACCUGAAAUCACCAGAUGUUAGCCCACCUGCUUUUUGUAUUAUGCCAUUUCCUUGCUCCUGCUCAAGCAGCCUUAUAGAAACCAACUGUCAUGCCCAGUGCAGCACCCGUCUAAAUCUUUAGAUGGGCUAUGACUAAUAACAGUCAACUCAAUCUGUCAACUCCAUUUGUUGAAAUUUUGCUUUUGGACACGCCGUAGAGAUGAAGUGAAAUGUGGAUUAGGUAAGAAAGACACCCAGAGAAAGGGGACCCUUGGUAGUCCCUAAGGCUAGCCCAGGCGUGAAACACUGUGUAUCCACAGCCAGGCAGAAGAAGAGCCUACAAAUCACCAGGACUCAGAGGACGCUGAGAUGUCCUGCAGGGCAGAGGGGACAGCUUCCGCAAGACAUGCACGGUGAACACCCCAAAGGAGCCCAGCAGCUGUGCCCCGUGCCUGGUCAGGGGCAGUGUUUCAGGGUUCCAGGCUCUUGCUGCCCCUCCCACAGGCCAGGAUGCUUGCUGCAGGCACAUCUCUGCUGCUCCCCACAACUGCACCUCCAUGAAGCCUUGUCUAGCAGAAGUGCCUUAGCAAUCACUCAAAAUAUUUCUUCAGAAUGUCCUUAUAAAAGUACAUGUCUCUGGGUGAAACAAUUUAAAAUUAGUAAAGUCAAUAUUUAAUUUGGACCUAGUUGGGAAAUACGGAAUUUUCCAUGGAGAAUCAGAACUGUCACCAGGAUACGGUGAAUUGGAACCACAGCCCUGGUUCCUGCAUGUUGAGAAGACAGCUGCUGGGCUCCAGGGUGAUUCAGGGUAGGGACCGCAGUGGCCCUACCAGCCAAUGGCUCUAGCCAAGACCUUGGCUAGACAAUCACUCUGCAAACAUCAUCCCCACCACCGCAUGUUCCUCCUAAUCUGACUCAGCCCGGGCUCUGCCUGCCAGCCCCCGCCCCAGCUCCAGGCUGCUCUUUUCCACUGUAGGAUGGCCUUGGAUGUUUGUGUUUCCUUUUUUGUUCAUAUAAGAAUAUUUAGGGUGUGGAGGACACACAGUUUUCUUUGACCUGUGACACACAGCCUCCCAGGAAGGGUCUUGGAUGCUCCACUACACUCCGUCAUCCAAGACAACACUGAAAAGACUCCCAGAUCUUUCUGUGAGUGAGAAAAGAGACCAGCCCAGCCCCAUCAAGCCCCCAGAAUGAAAGAAAAAGACCCUGCCACGAUGGACUCUCCUCCUCUUAGUCUAGCUAAAGGCUUGUCAACCCUUUGAUCUUUCCAAAAAAUCAACUCGUGGUUUUGAUUUUCUCUAUAAUUUUUUAUUCUCUAUUUUACUUCUCUACACUCUAAUCUUUAUUUUCUUCCCUGUGCUGGUUUGAGGUUUAAUUUGCUCCUCUUUUCCUAGUUCCUUAAGGUGUAUGACUAGGUUAUUACAUUGAGGUUUUCAUUUUUCUUUAAUGUAUGCAUGCACAGCGAUCAAUUUCCCUGUGAGCACUUCUUCUAAUGCAUCCCGUAAGUUUUAGUAUGCUGUGUUGACUUCCCUCUUUAUCCAUAAAAAUAAUCACACUACCCUGGGGACCACAGAAGGUGUAAAGCAAUACAAGUGGUCAUUGAGCUUUGAUUUUCCUAUUCAGAACAGGUUAAUCUACUUGUAAAUUGAGUUAUUCUUUUGCCUAAAGGAUAAGCUAUUUUUGCUAAUCAAAUUUUGGUCCAAAAAGAGACAUUUUUUCUGGCUCUUUUUCAAGAUCUGUGGCCCAUCAGAGUAGAUCAGUAUGAAGGAUGGCAUAGACCAGAGGUUAAUGAAUUUGUGGGAAAGAUUUCCAAAGUUGGAGAACACACUUUACAGUAACCAGAAAGAAUUGGAUGAAUCUCUGCUUUCUAUCACCCAGGACCAUUCCCAGUUCCAAAUCUUGUUGCAGGGGUCUGCCCACCCUGUCUCUCAUGAAAGGCCACCUCUCCAUACUGCCCAGCCCCUCUGUCAGCUGGUAUCAAAAACUGGCCCCAUUUCAGAGGACUGUCCAUCAAGUUACAUACAGUCUGGGACAUGGAUGAUUUAACAGGUGAGCGUGAUCCAGGGGUGCUGAGCAGAAUGGAGCCUACUUUCCUAAACAGACGUCAAACUAAUGUCCUGGCCUCCUGCAGUUACAAAAGCUCCCUUACAGCACAACUAACUCAGCCCAGAAAACUUCCCAGGUGAUUUGAGUUGGAUGCAAGUUUGCCCCUUACUUCCAGGCCUCCAUUGUUUUGGAAUGUUGCUAUGCAUUAUUAAACAGCGGCCACAUUUUGUCCAAGAGGUGGCUGCAUUUCAAUGGCGGUGAAGUAAUGCCUGUUUAUAUGUGCGCUUGCAAAGGGUUUUGGAACACUUUGACAUGAAAAGCAUCUUAC